rnacentral:rRNA from 1 species
AGAGAGAGACAUGCGCGCAUAUCAAUAAGCGGAGGAAAAGAAACUAACAAGGAUUCCCUUAGUAACGGCGAGUGAAGCGGGAAGAGCUCAAGUUUGAAAUCUUCAAGGUUCUACCUUGACGAAUUGUAGUUUAUAGAAGUGUUUUCUGUCAGUGGAGUGGCAAAAGUUCUUUGGAAUAGGACAUCAUAGAGGGUGAGAAUCCCGUAUUUGGUCAUUCCUCCUAGCGUUGUGAUACACUUUCAACGAGUCGGAUUGUUUGGGAAUGCAGUCCAAAAUGGGUGGUAAAUUUCAUCUAAAGCUAAAUAUUGGCGAGAGACCAAUAGCGAACAAGUACCGUGAGGGAAAGAUGAAAAGAACUUUGAAAAGAGAGUUAAACAGUACGUGAAAUUGUCAAAAGGGAAGCGUUUGACACCAGUGUUGUUUUUCCGAAAAUCAAUCACGGAUGUUUUAUUUUUGAGGAGUUAUGACUUCAUCGGCUUGCUCCUUUCUUUACGAAACUUUCUUAAUGCACUUUUCGGUUAACAAGUCAACAUCAAUUUCUUUUGUUGUAAAAGGGUCAUGAGGAAGGUGGCUUUCUUUUCGGAGAAAGUGUUUAUAGCCUUGUGCCUCUGCAAUCGGAGAGAUUGAGGUCUGCAGCGUAGAUCCUUCGGGGUUAGAUACGUUUGUGCUAAGUUAUAGCUUUUUCAUAGACAACUUGUUGACUAUGUUUAGUCUUGUAGCUUACUCGCUGACGCUAUUUUACCUACGCUUAGGAUGUUGAUAGUCACAGCGUGUAC